CGCCCUAGCGCGGGGGUGGAGAAGCUCCCAAGCGUUUGGCUGUUCGCCAAUUAAAAGGGCACGCG
rnacentral:ncRNA from 1 species